GCGGGUGUAGCUCAGUGGUAGAGCCCCGGUCUUCCAAACCGGUUGCGAGGGUUCGAUCCCCUUCACCCGCU
rnacentral:tRNA from 1 species